AAGGAAACCAACAGGGAUUGCCUCAGUAACGGCGAGUGAAGCGGCAACAGCUCAAAUUUGAAAUCUGGCCUCUUUGGGGUCCGAGUUGUAAUUUGUAGAGGAUGUUUCGGGUACCGCCUCGGUCUAAAUUUCUUGGAACAGAAUGUCAGAGAGGGUGAGAAUCCCGUCUUGGACCGGCGGUAGGGCCCAUGUGAAACUCCUUCGACGAGUCGAGUUGUUUGGGAAUGCAGCUCAAAAUGGGUGGUAUAUUUCAUCUAAAGCUAAAUAUUGGCCAGAGACCGAUAGCGCACAAGUAGAGUGAUCGAAAGAUGAAAAGAACUUUGAAAAGAGAGUUAAACAGUAUGUGAAAUUGUUGAAAGGGAAGCGCUUGCAACCAGACUUGAGCGCGGCGGUUCCCCCUUCCUUUUGGUUGGGUUACUCCGUCGUGUCCAGGCCAACAUCGGUUCUGGGGGUCGGUUAAAGGCUUGGGGAAUGUACCUACGUCUUCGGGCGUAGACUUAUAGCCCCGAGUGUCAUGCGACCUCCCGGGACCGAGGAACGCGCUUCGGCUCGGAUGUUGGCGUAAUGGUUGUAAGCGGCCCGUCUUGAAACACGGACCAAGGAGUCUAACAUCUAUGCGAGUGUUUGGGCGUCAAACCCGGAACGCGGAAUGAAAGUGAACGGAGGUAGGAAGCUUCGGCUGCACUAUCGACCGAUCCUGAUGUCUUCGGAUGGAUUUGAGUAAGAGCAUAGCUGUUGGGACCCGAAAGAUGGUGAACUAUGCCUGAAUAGGGUGAAGCCAGAGGAAACUCUGGUGGAGGCUCGCAGCGGUUCUGACGUGCAAAUCGAUCGUCAAAUUUGGGUAUAGGGGCGAAAGACUAAUCGAACCAUCUGGUAGCUGGUUCCUGCCGAAGWUUCCCUCAGGAUAGCAGUAACGAAAUCAGUUUUAUGAGGUAAAGCGAAUGAUUAGAGGCCUUGGGGUUGAAACAACCUUAACCUAUUCUCAAACUUUAAAUAUGUAAGAAGUCCUUGUUGCUUAAUUGAACGUGGACAUUUGAAUGUAUCGUUACUAGUGGGCCAUUUUUGGUAAGCAGAUCUGGCGAUGCGGGAUGAACCGAACGUGAGGUUAAGGUGCCGGAAUGCACGCUCAUCAGAUACCACAAAAGGUGUCAAUGCAUCUAGACAGCCGGACGGUGGCCAUGGAAGUCGGAAUCCGCUUAGGAGUGUGUAACAACUCACCGGCCGAAUGCAUUGGCCCUGAAAAUGGAUGGCGCUUAAGCGUGUUACCUAUACCUCGCCGUUAGGGUUGACAUGAUGCCCUAACGAGUAGGCAGGCGUGGAGGUCCGUGACGAAGCCUGGG
rnacentral:rRNA from 1 species